CUCCCAGCCACUUUGGGUGGAAAGUAGGGACUUGAGGUCAAAUUACUCUACAGAGGAAAUGGAAAGAAUUUGUUUUUUAUGUUUUUUUUUUUUUCUUCUGGGAGGGCAAGCACAGAGGAGAGAGGAGUAAGGCAGAAACAACAGAUGUAGCCAAAAGACUGCUGGGAACCAGAGUGCCUGAUGUUUGAUUUUAAGAUGCUGUGUGGCUCUGUUCCGCUAAGCGGUCGUUGUAGACAGUUCCAAACCUUGGGUAAAUAGGAGCUGCUUCUGGUAUAGAAACGAAGAGAUGGAUCAAAGAGGAGAGAUGAAAGAACAAUCUGGAACUGCACGAUGGAGAGCAAGGGUUCAGUGUCGGCAGCUCACAACAGCCAGGCCAAGAGACCAGAACUCCACAGGGAAUUGCAGCGGUCUUGACCGAGGAUCUGCUUUCUGAGGCAGCUGUCAGCACCGGCACAUGUCUGGAUCCACCGCAGUUGGCCUUCUAUCUUUCUGCUGCCUGCGUCGCAAGCCCUGGGACUACUUGCCAGUGAGCCUGACUCAGGCUAGGACGUCACUGCCCUGAGCAACUCGGCCAAGACUGGUCCAACUGGUUAGGGUCCUCUGACCGUGUAUGUAGUUAGGCAGUGUGAAUCGGAAAGUCCCAGGAUGAUCAGGAAUUUUUCUUGAGUAUAAAUCUGAAACAGAAACUCUCCAGAUCUCAAAGACCUUUCAGAUAGAAAUCAGAAGGCUCCAGUCUGGAAUAGCACCUUAAAAAUGAGCUUCCCUGGCUGUCUGGAGUCUUCAAGACAAAUCCAGAGUCAAGGAGCAGUGCUGAUCUCCUGGACCCCCUACUGCACCCCCGAACUUCCAGAGGCUUGUGGUUGUUGUGUCAAAGUGGGAAGAAUGACUUCUCUGCAAGUGCUUGCUGCUUAUCGUCAACCAGGAGGUCCUGAAGUAGCACUAAAGUCUCAUAAAGUCGGUUAUGAAAACUGGUUGAGGGACUUCCCUGGCGGUCCAGUGGUUAAAACUUUGCCUGCUAAUGCAGGGGGUGUGGAUUUGAUUCCUGGUCCGACAGCUAAGAUCCCACAUGCCUGGUCGCCAAAACAAGGACACACAAAGCAGAAGCAAUAUUGUAACAAAUUCAAUAAAGACUUUAAAAAAAAAAAAAAACACAGGUUGAGCCAUAAGUUCGAACAUGGACACACAUACACACCCCACACACAUGCUUAUACAUACGCACACUGCUCUUUAGAUACAGAACACAGCCAUUUUUAUAAAGUAAAUAUAUAG
rnacentral:lncRNA from 1 species